rnacentral:rRNA from 1 species
GCAAGCGUUAUCCGGAAUUAUUGGGCGUAAAGCGUCCGCAGGCGGUCUUUCAAGUCUGCUGUUAAAGGCUGGGGCUUAACUCCGGACAGGCAGUGGAAACUGGGAGACUAGAGAGCGGUAGGGGUAGAGGGAAUUCCCAGUGUAGCGGUGAAAUGCGUAGAUAUUGGGAAGAACACCAGUGGCGAAGGCGCUCUACUGGGCCGCAACUGACGCUGAGGGACGAAAGCUAGGGGAGCGAAAGGGAUUAGAUACCCCUGUAGUCCUAGCUGUAAACGAUGGAUACUAGGUGUUGGGCGUAUCGACCCGUUCAGUACCGUAGCUAACGCGAUAAGCAUCCCGCCUGGGGAGUACGGCCGCAAGGCUAAAACUCAAACGAAUUGACGGGGACCCGCACAAGCAGCGGAGCGUGUGGUUUAAUUCGAUGCUACACGAAGAACCUUACCUGGGUUUGACAUGGACGUGGUAGUGAAGCGAAAGCGGAGCGACCCUUCGGGGAGCGUUCACAGGUGCUGCAUGGCUGUCGUCAGCUCGUGCCGUGAGGUGUCGGGUUAAGUCCCGUAACGAGCGCAACCCUUGCCCUUAGUUACAAGUGUCUAAGGGGACUGCCGGCGGGAAGCCGGAGGAAGGUGGGGAUGACGUCAAGUCAGCAUGGCCCUUAUAUCCAGGGCUACACACACGCUACAAUGGUCGGUACAGAGGGCAGCGAAGCCGCGAGGUGGAGCGAAUCCCAGAAAGCCGGUCGUAGUUCGGAUUGCAGGCUGCAACCCGCCUGCAUGAAGCUGGAGUUGC